CAGUGGAUGUGUUUUUAUUAUUUCCAGGAUACUGUAAUGAACCCAAAGUUGCCUGGGUUGUCACCAUAGCAUUUGAACCAGAUCGAGCUUGUCUGGAGUUCCAUUAGGCAAUGGGGAAUAUGUGAUCACUCAGUGGUUGGCAGGUGGGAGCAUGUGGUUACUGGCAUCCCAGCUUUAACUUCUGCCAGCAAGCAGCAUCACUGACAGGACAACAGGCCAUCAGUAACCUGAUGUCAGAUGGAAUCUCUCUUUGAGAGGGAAGGAAGAGGUCCUCAGGGACUUUAACCUUCCUCAUCUGUGUACCAGACACUGCUCUUAGUCCUAGAGAGACAGCAAGGAUGGACCAUAAGCAAACAAACUAGGAAAUACUUCCAGGUAGAGAUGAGUGUUGUGAAGAAAAAUAAAGCACGGUAGGGGAUGGUGCAUAGAGGGCAGGGAGUAGGGGCCAUUUUGAUGAAUCUGAUGUGUAUGAGUUCUGAAGGAACAGGGCCUAUUUUUCCAUCACAUUAGCAGUAGGAAAAUAGUGAAUGAAGGAAAGAAAAUGACCAUACGGAGUGGUCUAACUAUUGAAUUAGUGACCACUGUCCUCCAGUGGGCUUUCAGUGCUGCUUUCCUAACUUCAUCCUCUCACCUGCUCUCUAAGACAACUAUUUCAUCCAUUUUCCUUUCACUGUAAACUUCCAAAGCUUCUCCUUCUCCGUUCUUGGCUGAUGACCUUGCUUUGGGAUUUUUCUGGAAAACAAUCCAAAGAGAACUUGCCGGGCUGCCAUAUUCAUCCACUCCCUAGCCCUGGGAUCUGUGUUCUACCUUCCCCCAGCUAGUGGAGGGGAACUGCCCAUGCUCCUUCCAGAGACCAUAUUCCUUGUUUGUUGCAUCCCAUCUUUUCUGGUCCCUCGUGGGUAUCGCUUGU
rnacentral:lncRNA from 1 species